AGCGAAAACCAUUUUCUCUAAAAAAUGUGUGGGUGGCAUAUGCCAGCUCAUCUCUGAUUCGAGCAACUGCAGAUAUCGUGUUGGUGCGAGCCCUGAAGUGGACAAUUUCCCGUAACCUCUCAAGCGUAAGCCUCGUCUUCGGCAGCGGAUACUUAGCCGGAUCAACGGUCCCGAUCUCAAUCACCCUCUCAACCCGCAGCUCCACGCUCUGCUUCGUCCCCUCCGGCGGCUUCUUCAGCUCACCCUCCACCAGCACGGAGGUCCCCG
rnacentral:misc_RNA from 1 species